AGGCCGGUCCUACACAGCGGGACCAGCGGCACCUCUGCCCCGGCACCCCCUGAGCAGAGCAGGGCCCAUCUCCCAUCCUGAGCCCACUGCAUCCCGGGGAAUGAGCGGAGCUGCAGAGCCGCGGGCAGGAGGAGCUGCUCCAGCAUAGGUGCUGUCCUGCUCCACCCCUGUCAGAAGGGACCCACAAGGAUCACGAAGUUGAGCUCUAAGUGAAUGGCCCAUCCAGUGACUGAACCCACAACCUUUAGUGUUUUCAGCACCCUGCUCAAAACAGCUGAACUGAUCUCUGGGUCAUCUGGAAUUCCAGGCUGGAAUUGGAACUGGAAGUACCAACAAGGGAGAAAUGAGCAAGACAAGUCCUGAGGGUUCCCUUGGUCCGUGGCAGAAUUCUUCUGCACUGGAAUAUCUGGGAUACCAGGCGUGUCCCUGGAAGCCACAGGUCAGAGGCAGAGACAGAUGAACAAUCCUGAACUGGUUUUCAGGGGAUGCAUCCCCAGCCUGUGGGGACUGCAAAGCUGCUCCUUCCACUUGGGACAGCCAGGAAAAACAUCCCCACCAUGGAUUUCUGACAGGAAAAACCUCACAGCUCCAGGAUACUUGGCUUCUCCCAAAUCCAGCCAGCAUUCCAAGGAACAAACAAGGGGACAGAUCACCUCAGGGUGCACACCACUAUUUUUAAUAAUAACACCAAAACCAGGGAGAAUUCACACUCACCUUUUCUCCUGGGCACAGCUCUCCAG